GGAUGAACAGGUAUCGUGUCACCUGAGGAGGGCGGAUCUGGUGUAUAAAUACAGCCAGAAAAUGCAUUUCCACACUGAAAGAGCAAGACAAGACAAAAGUGUUACUGCCAAUUUGCAUAUCAGACAGUCUCAACAUGAGUGACCCACCAAAGAAGGAUUGCGUAGAUUCGGAUUCUCACUCUGAGGGCUCAGGAGAUGAAGGUGAAAAGGGGAAGCAUGGAAAAGGCCAAGGCAAAGGCAAAGGCAAAGGUCAGCAAGGUCAAGGACACGGUCAUGGUCACGGUCACGGAGGUGGUGAACAUGGGAAAAAAGGACCUGAACAAAAAGGAAAAAAGUGAAUUUAAGUUCAAAGCCUGAGACUAUAUGAUGGUCCAUGCAACAAAACUGGGUUUCAGUUCAACUUUGCAUCCAAGUAAUGAAUUAAAACACCAAUAAAAAAAAAAAUUGUCUGUUUUUAA